rnacentral:rRNA from 1 species
UACGUAGGCAGCGAGCGUUGUUCGGAAUUACUGGGCGUAAAGCGUGUGUAGGCGGUGUUGCCAGUCUGUUGUGAAAUCUCCCGGCUUAACUGGGAGGGUGCAGCGGAAACUAGAAUGCUAGAGGGUGGGAGAGGUAAGCGGAAUUCCUGGUGUAGCGGUGAAAUGCGUAGAUAUCAGGAGGAACACCUGUGGUGUAGACAGCUUACUGGACCACUUCUGACGCUGAGACACGAAAGCGUGGGUAGCAAACAGG